rnacentral:rRNA from 1 species
CCUACGGGUGGCAGCAGUGAGGAAUAUUGGUCAAUGGACGCAAGUCUGAACCAGCCAUGCCGCGUGCAGGAAGACGGCUCGAUGAGUUGUAAACUGCUUUUGUACGAGGGGAAACGCAGAUACGCGGAUCGGUCUGAAAGUAUCGUACGAAUAAGGAUCGGCUAACUCCGUGCCAGCAGCCGCGGUAAUACGGAGGAUUCAAGCGUUAUCCGGAUUUAUGGGGUUUAAAGGGUGCGUAGGCGGGCGGAUAAGUUAGAGGGGAAAUCCCGAGGCUCCACUUCGGAAUUGCCUCUGAUACUGUUCGGCUAGAGCGUAGUUGCGGUCGGCGGAAUGUCUGGUGUAGCGG